rnacentral:lncRNA from 1 species
GGCCACGUCGCGAGCAGGGCUGUUGUUAGUGUGCGCCGCCGCCGUCGUCAGCUCUGCGCACGACGUCACCACGACGGACGACUCUUUCCGCAACCGGAAUGCGGCCGUAGAAGUGCAAGCAUCUCCUCCAAAUAAGUCGCUGAGGGAGGUGGCAGCAAAUGCAACGAAACCACUGCGUUAUCGCGGUCCUCAGGGGCCUGACCAGCCCGCCGUCAUCCGAGCGCUCACCAACCAGCCCACCCACGUCAGCUCCCUGCCCUGAAAGCCCUGGCCAGCCCACCGUCCUCGGCACCCUGCCUAACUCUUAUCCUCAGGGCCCUGCAUAAUCCACCGUCAUGCGCCUAGCUUCCCGAGAAAUGGCUGUUUGGUAUUUGCUGCAAAUAUACUGUUUUAACAUAACCCAGCGUCACCCAUUUAGGUCCACGAAAAAUGCCUGUUUGUGCUUAUUUAUUAGUAAAUAAACUGUUAUAAAAUUG